rnacentral:rRNA from 1 species
AAUGAACGCUGGCGGCAGGCCUAACACAUGCAAGUCGAACGGAUCCUUCGGGAUUAGUGGCGGACGGGUGAGUAACGCGUGGGAACAUACCCUUUGGUACGGAAUAGCCUCGGGAAACUGGGAGUAAUACCGUAUGUGGUCGAGAGACGAAAGAUUUAUCGCCAAAGGAUUGGCCCGCGUUGGAUUAGGUAGUUGGUGGGGUAAUGGCCUACCAAGCCAACGAUCCAUAGCUGGUUUGAGAGGAUGAUCAGCCACACUGGGACUGAGACACGGCCCAGACUCCUACGGGAGGCAGCAGUGGGGAAUCUUAGACAAUGGGGGAAACCCUGAUCUAGCCAUGCCGCGUGAUCGAUGGAGGCCUUAGGGUUGUAAAGAUCUUUCAGGUGGGAAGAUAAUGACUGUACCACCAGAAGAAGCCCCGGCUAACUCCGUGCCAGCAGCCGCAGUAA